CAGCCGCCACGGGAAUACAGAGGGUGCGAGCGUUAAUCGGAUUUACUGGGCGUAAAGCGUGCGUAGGCGGCUUUUUAAGUCGGAUGUGAAAUCCCUGAGCUUAACUUAGGAAUUGCAUUCGAUACUGGGAAGCUAGAGUAUGGGAGAGGAUGGUAGAAUUCCAGGUGUAGCGGUGAAAUGCGUAGAGAUCUGGAGGAAUACCGAUGGCGAAGGCAGCCAUCUGGCCUAAUACUGACGCUGAGGUACGAAAGCAUGGGGAGCAAACAGGAUUAGAUACCCCAGUAGUCCCUGUCUCUUAUAA
rnacentral:rRNA from 1 species